rnacentral:rRNA from 1 species
GUAGCGGUGAAAUGCGUAGAGAUCUGGAGGAAUACCGAUGGCGAAGGCAGCCUUCUGGCCUAAUACUGACGCUGAGGUGCGAAAGCAUGGGGAGCAAACAGGAUUAGAUACCCUGGUAGUCCAUGCCGUAAACGAUGUCAACUAGCCGUUGGGGCCUUUGGGGCUUUAGUGGCGCAGCUAACGCGAUAAGUUGACCGCCUGGGGAGUACGGUCGCAAGACUAAAACUCAAAUGAAUUGACGGGGGCCCGCACAAGCGGUGGAGCAUGUGGUUUAAUUCGAUGCAACGCGAAGAACCUUACCUGGUCUUGACAUAGUGAGAACGAUCCAGAGAUGGAUUGGUGCCUUCGGGAAUUCACAUACAGGUGCUGCAUGGCUGUCGUCAGCUCGUGUCGUGAGAUGCUGGGUUAAGUCCCGCAACGAGCGCAACCCUUUUCCUUAUUUGCCAGCACUUCGGGUGGGAACUCUAAGGAUACUGCCAGUGACAAACUGGAGGAAGGCGGGGACGACGUCAAGUCAUCAUGGCCCUUACGACCAGGGCUACACACGUGCUACAAUGGUCGGUACAGAGGGUUGCUAACCCGCGAGGGCAUGCUAAUCUCAAAAAGCCGAUCGUAGUCCGGAUUGGAGUCUGCAACUCGACUCCAUGAAGUCGGAAUCGCUAGUAAUCGCGGAUCAGAAUGCCGCGGUGAAUACGUUCCCGGGCCUUGUACACACCGCCCGUCACACCAUGGGAGUUUGUUGCACCAGAAGUAGGUAGUCUAACCGCAAGGAGGACGCUUACCACGGUGUGGCCGAUGACUGGGGUGAAGUCGUAACAAGGUAACCA